CAGUAGCCGCGGGAAUACGAAGGGUGCAAGCGUUAAUCGGAAUUACUGGGCGUAAAGCGUGCGCAGGCGGUGAUGUAGGACAGUUGUGAAAUCCCCGGGCUCAACCUGGGAACUGCAUCUGUGACUGCAUCGCUGGAGUGCGGCAGAGGGGGAUGGAAUUCCGCGUGUAGCAGUGAAAUGCGUAGAUAUGCGGAGGAACACCGAUGGCGAAGGCAAUCCCCUGGGCCUGCACUGACGCUCAUGCACGAAAGCGUGGGGAGCAAACAGGAUUAGAUACCCCGGUAGUCCCUGUCUCUUAUAC
rnacentral:rRNA from 1 species